AAGCGGUGGAUGAUGUGAUUAAUUCGAUGCAACGACGAAAACCUUACCUACCCUUGACAGUGUCCGGAAUCCCGAAGAGAUUUGGGAGUGCUCGCAAGAGAACCGGAACACAGGUGCUGCAUGGCUGUCGUCAGCUCGUGUCGUGAGAUGUUGGGUUAAGUCCCGCAACGAGCGCAACCCUUGUCAUUAGUUGCCAUCAUUUGGUUGGGCACUCUAAUGAGACUGCCGGUGACAAACCGGAGGAAGGUGGGGAUGACGUCAAGUCCUCAUGGCCCUUAUGGGUAGGGCUUCACACGUCAUACAAUGGUCGGUACAGAGGGUUGCCAACCCGCGAGGGGGAGCUAAUCCCACAAAGCCGGUCGUAGUCCGGAUCGCAGUCUGCAACUCGACUGCGUGAAGUCGGAAUCGCUAGUAAUCGCGGAUCAGCAUGUCGCGGUGAAUACGUUCCCGGGUCUU
rnacentral:rRNA from 1 species